UCCUGGAUUAGUUACAAUUACAGGCAUUACUAAAAUUACACGACCAAUGCAGAAUGGACUUUUAAGUUUAUGUGAAGGAAACAACCUUAUCUCUGUUUUGUCUCUCAGCCUCAGGGCCUAACAGGCCUCUGAUAUUGAUAAAAACACAGAUGACACAAGAAAAUGUCAGCAUAACAUACCUGCCACCUUGUUAUGUAGAAACCUUUUGGCAUGAGAUUGCUUCGGUUUGCAUUAGGGCCAGGCAACAAGAAAGGAAUACCCAAUGUUGCAAAGCCAUACACCCUCUUGGGAUGUAAGACAGCUACUAGGCUUAAUGCUAGAACUCCAAAAUCUUUGGCAAUUAAAAAAACCUGGUAUAAGAAGUCCCAACUAUUAUUUGGCCAAUUGCAAAAGGCUACAUUCUCUAGUUUAGUUAGACUUAUCAUUGGCCUUUGCAAAUAAUGGAUUCAAUAAACUAGAAUUCUUGAGCAACUGAUGACAAAGGGGAACAGUGUCCACAGAACAAUAUUUAUGUGGUUGUUUUGAAUUAAUUCUUUUCAAGGUAGUAUUUACAAAAGAAGGC
rnacentral:lncRNA from 1 species